GUGUCAGCCGCCGCGGUAAUACGGAGGGUGCAAGCGUUAUCCGGAUUCACUGGGUUUAAAGGGUGCGUAGGCGGGCUUGUAAGUCAGUGGUGAAAGCCCGGGGCUUAACUCCGGAAUUGCCGUUGAUACUGCAAGCCUUGAGUACAGGUGAGGUGGGCGGAAUACGUCAUGUAGUGGUGAAAUACUUAGAUAUGAUGUAGAACACCGAUUGCGAAGGCAGCUCGCUAAACUGUAACUGACGCUGAGGCACGAAAGCGUGGGGAUCAAACAGGAUUAGAUACCCUGGUAGUCCACGCCCUAAACGAUGUUCACUCGACAUUAGCGAUAUACUGUUAGUGUCCAAGCAAAAGCGUUAAGUGAACCACCUGGGGAGUACGACCGCAAGGUUGAAACUUAAAUGAAUUGACGGGG
rnacentral:rRNA from 1 species